rnacentral:rRNA from 1 species
UACGUAGGUGGCAAGCGUUGUCCGGAAUUAUUGGGCGUAAAGCGCGCGCAGGCGGUCCUUUAAGUCUGAUGUGAAAGCCCACGGCUCAACCGUGGAGGGUCAUUGGAAACUGGGGGACUUGAGUGCAGAAGAGGAAAGUGGAAUUCCACGUGUAGCGGUGAAAUGCGUAGAGAUGUGGAGGAACACCAGUGGCGAAGGCGACUUUCUGGUCUGUAACUGACGCUGAGGCGCGAAAGCGUGGGGAGCAAACAGGAUUAGAUACCCUGGUAGUCCACGCCGUAAACGAUGAGUGCUAAGUGUUAGGGGGUUUCCGCCCCUUAGUGCUGCAGCUAACGCAUUAAGCACUCCGCCUGGGGAGUACGGCCGCAAGGCUGAA